GGUUGUCUGGCCGAGUGGUCCAAGGCGCACGCUUCAGGCGCGUGUCCGAAAGGGCGUGGGUUCGAUCCCCACGGCAACCA
rfam:Tritrichomonas foetus strain K scaffold_707, whole genome shotgun sequence.